UACGUAGGGUGCGAGCGUUAAUCGGAAUUACUGGGCGUAAAGCGUGCGCAGGCGGUGAUGUAAGACCGAUGUGAAAUCCCCGGGCUUAACCUGGGAACUGCAUUGGUGACUGCAUCGCUCGAGUAUAGCAGAGGGGGGUAGAAUUCCACGUGUAGCAGUGAAAUGCGUAGAGAUGUGGAGGAAUACCGAUGGCGAAGGCAGCCCCCUGGGUCAAUACUGACGCUCAUGCACGAAAGCGUGGGGAGCAAACAGG
rnacentral:rRNA from 1 species